GUCGUUGUGGUACAGUGGUAAGUAUUCCCGCCUGUCAUGCGGGUGACCCGGGUUCGAUCCCGGUAGCAGCG
rfam:Lupinus angustifolius cultivar Tanjil chromosome LG19, whole genome shotgun sequence.